CCUCCCCUGGUGUUGCUGUGGCUUCCAAGCAUGCAGUGCUAAAGAAGAGUGGUCCCCCACUUCCAUCAGCUAGCUACAUCCUCGGGAUAAAGGGAGCAGUCCGGGAGGAUGCUGAGGCUGCAGAAGGGAAAUAAGGCUCAGCCAGCACGCCUGGCUCCCCGUGAAAUCCUCUCCUCCUCAUCCCCUCCUCCCUGAAACCUGCCUUGAAGGGAGAAAAGAAAGAAAGAAAGAAAGAAAAACAACAACAACAACAAAAAAGGCGAAGACCAAAAACAAAAACAAAAAAAAAAAAAAAACAACACACAAGGAAAAAGUGAUGAAAAGACACAACUCACCUUAACAAGGGGUGUUGGAUGGGGUCAGAGAGGAGGAAGGGUAUAUAAAAAGAUCUAUUUUUAGCAGAGGUUGUGAUAGUACUGAAACACACAGACACAGGGUUUGGAAGCAGGGAGAAGAGUAUAAAAAACGAGGGGAAGAGAAAUUAUCGAGAAGGUGCAAGUCAGUCUGGCAGGAGAAACGAGAAUCCCCAAGGAAAAAAAAAAAGAAGAAGAAGAAGAAGAAAAAGAAAAAAAAAAAAAAAGAAAAAAAGAAAAACCACGAAAAGGGUGGUGAGGCAUUGGCACAGGCUGCCCAGAGGAGCUGUGGAUGCCCCAUCCCUGGAGACAUUCUGGGCCAGGAUGGAUGGGACCCUGAGCCUUCUGAUCUGCUGAGUGGCAGCCCUGCCCGUGGCGAGGGGUUGGAAAUGAAUGAUCUUAGAGAUUCCUUCCAAUCCAAACCUUUCUAUGCUUCUGUGGUCUCGGAGGAUCACACCUGCCUGAAACAGCUGGCCAAAUCCAGCCAACAUUGAGAUGCUACAGAAGCAGGCUUUUACCAAUCUUAUCAUCUCCAGAAAUACAUCUGUAACUAAAAAGGCAUCCAGCAAAAGUUGCUUUUGAGCAUGUAAAUACAACACCUUUAGAAACCUUCCUACAGUUUUUUUGGGUUUUUUUUGGUCUAAACUGAGAGCGAUGGGAAAAGCACAUGGAGAAUCUAAAGGCAGGGAAACAAGCAGGCUCUUAAAGAGUGUUUUAUUUCUAUCCACAGAGCUAUUAACAAUGGUAUGCAAACACGUCUGUUUGUGACUUGUGGUUUUGAAUUGGCGCUGUCCCAUAAGCGGUGAGAGCAAACGCGGGCCAAGCUGUUGGAUCCACAACGUGCAACUGGUACACAAGCUGUGCUUCGGCAGCACUGUUACGUUGAGAUAAGCAGGAGCAUGUGUAGUAAAUAGCAGAAGGAUCUGCUCCAGGAUGCACACUGAUGCUGAGGAAGGGAAUCACCAAAAUGAGCAGCGUUUGGUGGCACCUGGCAGCCAACAAAGCCUUCCCGAGGAAGAGCAGUGAGUGCAGGGGUACCUAAUGGCUGGACAUAAGUACCACUUAAAUCCCUGGCACCAGCAGGGAGGAGUGCAGGAGGGUGGGAGCCUCACGGGCAGGCUGCAGGCGGCCCAGUGGAGCAUGCCCCGAUGGCCCUACGCUGCCUGCUGCCUAGCAGGGCCAGGAGCGCCCAGCUCACUGCUGGCUGAGGCGCGGGAACAGGCCGAGUGCCUGGAACCCAACUGCUGGCUGGGGCUGGAGCCUCCUCGUUAAAUGAAUCAUUCAUUAGGCAGAAAAAGGCAUACUGAGGACCAAACAACAACUUCAUUAUUCUGUAUUUCGACCCUUUUUCCUCCUCCGAAGAAAGAAUUACUUCCCACACGGCUACAGCGGAG
ensembl:lncRNA